rnacentral:rRNA from 1 species
UACGAGAGGUGCAAGCGUUAUUCGGAAUCAUUGGGCGUAAAGGGUGCGUAGACGGCGCAUUAAGUCAACUGUUAAAUCUCCUGGCCUAACUGGGAAAAUGCGGUAGAUACUGAUGUGCUAGAGGAUGGAAGAGAGAAGUGGAAUUCUCGGAGUAGCGGUAAAAUGCGUAGAUCUCGAGAGGAACACCGAUGGCGAAGGCAGCUUCUUGGUCCAUUCCUGACGUUGAGGCACGAAAGCGUGGGGAGCAAAC